rnacentral:tRNA from 1 species
GCGCCGGUGGUGGAAUGGGUAGACGCGGCAGGCUUAAACCCUGCUCGACUGCGGGUUCGAGUCCCGCCCGGCGCACCA